rnacentral:rRNA from 1 species
UACGGAGGGGGCUAGCGUUGUUCGGAAUUACUGGGCGUAAAGCGCGCGUAGGCGGACCUGCAAGUCGGGGGUGAAAGCCCGAGGCUCAACCUCGGAACUGCCUUCGAUACUGCGGGUCUCGAGUCCGGGAGAGGUGAGUGGAAUUCCUAGUGUAGAGGUGAAAUUCGUAGAUAUUAGGAAGAACACCAGUGGCGAAGGCGGCUCACUGGCCCGGUACUGACGCUGAGGCGCGAAAUCGUGGGGAGCAAACAGG